rnacentral:rRNA from 1 species
UACGUAGGUGGCAAGCGUUGUCCGGAUUUACUGGGCGUAAAGAGCGCGCAGGCGGUCGUUCAAGUCGCGUGUGAAAGCCCCCGGCUCAACUGGGGAGGGUCACGCGAUACUGAUCGACUCGAAGGCAGGAGAGGGUAGUGGAAUUCCCGGUGUAGCGGUGAAAUGCGCAGAUAUCGGGAGGAACACCAAUGGCGAAGGCAGCUCGCUGGGACGGUACUGACGCUGAGACGCGAAAGCGUGGGGAGCAAACAGG